rnacentral:rRNA from 1 species
AUGAACGCUGGCGGCGUGCCUAAUACAUGCAAGUUGAGCGAACAGACGAGGAGCUUGCUCCUCGGACGUUAGCGGCGGACGGGUGAGUAACACGUGGAUAACCUACCUAUAAGACUGGGAUAACUUCGGGAAACCGGAGCUAAUACCGGAUAAUAUAUUGAACCGCAUGGUUCAAUAGUGAAAGACGGUUUUGCUGUCACUUAUAGAUGGAUCCGCGCCGCAUUAGCUAGUUGGUAAGGUAACGGCUUACCAAGGCAACGAUGCGUAGCCGACCUGAGAGGGUGAUCGGCCACACUGGAACUGAGACACGGUCCAGACUCCUACGGGAGGCAGCAGUAGGGAAGCUUCCGCAAUGGGCGAAAGCCUGACGGAGCAACGCCGCGUGAGUGAUGAAGGUCUUCGGAUCGUAAAACUCUGUUAUUAGGGAAGAACAAAUGUGUAAGUAACUAUGCACGUCUUGACGGUACCUAAUCAGAAAGCCACGGCUAACUACGUG